AGAGAUGUGUGAUGACGCAUAUCAAUAAGCGGAGGAAAAGAAACUAACAAGGAUUCCCUUAGUAACGGCGAGUGAAGCGGGAAGAGCUCAAAUUUGAAAUCUUCAAGGUUCUACCUUGACGAAUUGUAGUUUAUAGAAGUGUUUUCUGUUAGUGGAGUGGCAAAAGUUCUUUGGAAUAGGACAUCAUAGAGGGUGAGAAUCCCGUAUUUGGUCAUUCCUCCUAGCGUUGUGAUACACUUUCAACGAGUCGGAUUGUUUGGGAAUGCAGUCCAAAAUGGGUGGUAAAUUUCAUCUAAAGCUAAAUAUUGGCGAGAGACCGAUAGCGAACAAGUACCGUGAGGGAAAGAUGAAAAGAACUUUGAAAAGAGAGUUAAACAGUACGUGAAAUUGUCAAAAGGGAAGCGUUUGACACCAGUGUUGUUUUUCCGAAAAUCAAUUACGAAUGUUUUAUUUUUGAGAAGUUAUGACUUCAUCGGCUUGCUUCUCUCUUUAUGAAACUUUCUUAAUGCACUUUUCGGUUAACAAGUCAGCAUCAAUUUCUUUUGUUGUAAAAGGGUAUGAGGAAGGUGGCUUUCUUUUCGGAGAAAGUGUUUAUGGCCUUGUACCUCUGCAAUCGGAGAGAUUGAGGUCUGCAGCGUAGAUUCUUCGGGGUUAGAUACAUUUGUGCUAAGUUAUAGCCUUUUAUAGACAACUUGUUGACUAUGAUUAGUCUUGUAACUUACUCGCUUAUGCUAUUUUACCUACGCUUAGGAUGUUGAUAGUCACAGCGUGUAC
rnacentral:rRNA from 1 species